UGGUGGGAUGUGCCACGAACCAAGCUGUCCUGUUUCACACUGUCAGAUUAAUCUGUGCGGGGCAGGUCGGGAGGGUUAUGUGUGAGAUGGAUGAAGGAAGAAAAUGGAGAUGGACGGAUGAACUGAGCCCGUGUGCGGAGCAGAGGGGAGGGAAAGUAACAGCUGGACUUAGAGGAGGAUUAGAGGGAAAUCUGGGUGGGUUCCUGAUGGAAACUCAGCCAAGACGCAGGAGGAGGAGGCGGCGCACAAGGGAAAACAGGUGAAGGCGACCGAGCUCAGAGGGAGGAAGCGUCUCCUGAAGCCAACGCGCGGUGCUGGUCCAGACACAAACAGCAGGAGUCAGUGCUCAUUAAAACCUGAUCCACCCUGAGAUUAACACAGAUUACGGGGCCCAGAGAAUCCGUCCUGAGCUCCGUCCCUGUAGAGAGGAACAGGUGGAAGACGUUAGACCCAUUAAAUCCACCGGAUUCAGACUUUUAUCUGGAAGCUCGAGUGUCGGAGGCCGUGAUGGAAACAUGGGUUAAAUGUGACGAGACGAACCAACGUCUUCGUGGUUCCCUCUGAGCGUCAGGAUCUGGACGGAGAGUCUCUCCUUCAACCUCUGGCCCGCACAUCUGUCUCUUCUUCUGUCUUUCUCUCUGAUUAAAUCCCUUCAUCUUCCUCCUCUGA